GACGAACGCUGGCGGCGUGCUUAACACAUGCACUUCGAGCGGAGCGGCGCACGGGUGAGUAACGCGUGAGUAACUUCCCCCCUCUCUGGGAUAACAGUUGGAAACGGCUGCUAAUACCGGAUAGUGGGGGUUGACUCGCGUCCUAUAAGCUUAUUGGUGGGGUAGUGGCCUACCAAGGCGACGACGGGUAGACGGCCUGAGCGGGCGGACGGCCACAUGGGGCUGAGAUACGGGCCAAACUCCUACGGGAGGAAGCAGUGGGGAAUAUUGCACAAUUGGGGAAACCCUGAUGCAGCAACGCGCGUGCGGGAUGACGGCCUUCGGGUUGUAAACCGCUUUCAGCCAUGACGCGGUAGUGGCAGAAGAAGCACCGGCUAACUACGUGCCAGCAGCCGCGGUAAUAC
rnacentral:rRNA from 1 species